rnacentral:rRNA from 1 species
CCUGGGGAGUACGGCCGCAAGGCUAAAACUCAAAGGAAUUGACGGGGGCCCGCACAAGCGGCGGAGCAUGCGGAUUAAUUCGAUGCAACGCGAAGAACCUUACCAAGGCUUGACAUAUACCGGAAACGUCCAGAGAUGGUCGCCCCGCAAGGUCGGUAUACAGGUGGUGCAUGGUUGUCGUCAGCUCGUGUCGUGAGAUGUUGGGUUAAGUCCCGCAACGAGCGCAACCCUCGUCCUAUGUUGCCAGCACGUCAUGGUGGGAACUCAUGGGAUACUGCCGGGGUCAACUCGGAGGAAGGUGGGGAUGAGGUCAAAUCAUCAUGCCCCUUAUGUCUUGGGCUUCACGCAUGCUACAAUGGCCGGUACAAUGGGCUGCGAUACCGCGAGGUGGAGCGAAUCCCAAAAAGCCGGUCUCAGUUCGGAUUGAGGUCUGCAACUCGACCUCAUGAAGUCGGAGUCGCUAGUAAUCGCAGAUCAGCAACGCUGCGGUGAAUACGUUCCCGGGCCUUGUACACACCGCCCGUCAAGUCAUGAAAGUCGGUAACACCCGAAGCCA